rnacentral:rRNA from 1 species
CCUACGGGAGGCAGCAGUGGGGAAUAUUGCACAAUGGGGGGAACCCUGAUGCAGCAAUGCCGCGUGGGUGAAGAAGCACUCCGGUGCGUAAAGCCCUGUCAGCAGGGCAGAAAAUGACAGUACAUGGACAAGAAGCCCCGGCUAACUACGUGCCAGCAGACGCGGUAAUACGUAGGGGGAAAGCGGUAUCCGGAUUUACUGGGGGUAAAGGGAGGGCAGGCGGAGUGGCAAGGCAGAUGAGAAAACCCGGGGCCCAACCCCGGGAGUGCAUUUGAAACUGCCAUGCUAGAGUGACGGAGAGGUAAGCGGAAUUCCGGGUGUAGCGGUGAAAUGCGUAGAGAUUAGGAGGAACACCAGUGGCGGAGGCGGCUUACUAGACGGUAACUGACGCUGAGGCUCGAAAGCGUGGGGAGCAAACAGGAUUAGAUACCCGUGUAGUC